CAGCAGCCACGGUAAUACGAAGGGGGCUAGCGUUGCUCGGAAUUACUGGGCGUAAAGGGCGCGUAGGCGGACAGUUCAGUCGGGGGUGAAAGCCCGGGGCUCAACCUCGGAAUUGCCUUCGAUACUGGCUGUCUUGAGUAUGAGAGAGGUGUGUGGAACUCCGAGUGUAGAGGUGAAAUUCGUAGAUAUUCGGAAGAACACCAGUGGCGAAGGCGACACACUGGCUCAUUACUGACGCUGAGGCGCGAAAGCGUGGGGAGCAAACAGGAUUAGAUACCCCCGUAGUCCCUGUCUCUUAUAC
rnacentral:rRNA from 1 species